UACGGGGGGGGGCAAGCGUUUGUUCGGAAUUACUGGGCGUAAAGGGCGCGUAGGCGGUGCUCUAAGUCGGAUGUGAAAACUCUGGGCUCAACCCAGAGCCUGCAUCCGAAACUGGAGUGCUAGAGUUCUGGAGGGGGUAGCGGAAUUCCUGGUGUAGCGGUGAAAUGCGCAGAUAUCAGGAGGAACACCGGUGGCGAAGGCGGGUCUCUGGGCCGAUACUGACGCUGAGGAGCGAAAGCGUGGGGAGCGAACAGG
rnacentral:rRNA from 1 species